rnacentral:rRNA from 1 species
UAGACACCAAAGCAGACCAUGUUAAUCACCCCUGGAUAAUGGGUUAAACAAUAUUGAACCCUGCCCUAAUGUCUUCGGUUGGGGCGACCACGGAGAAAUAAAAAACCCCCGCGUGGAAUAGGGAUACUAUCCCCACAGUCACGAGCCUCCGCUCUAUCAAACAGAACAUCUGACCAACCAGAUCCGGCAAUGCCGACCAACGGACCAAGUUACCCUAGGGAUAACAGCGCAAUCCCCUUCUAGAGCCCAUAUCGACAAGGGGGUUUACGACCUCGAUGUUGGAUCAGGACAUCCUAAUGGUGCAGCCGCUAUUAAG